CCUCAUCCCCCCAUGCCUCCCCCCCUGCGGCCCCACACUUUCCAAUAAGAACUUCGGCUAUUUUUUCACACUUCGUGCUAAGGACAGAGCACCAGCUGGAAGACUCAGUCACACCACCAAGAAAGAAAGCACUUCUUGGGCAUCAAAACCUUGCUAGAGUGCUGGACCAUUGUUUUCCAGAGGCUGUCUAUGGAUAAAAUACAAGCAGGAUACAUCAAGGUUCCUCUCAAGCCCGAGGGCUAAAGGAUGAGUUACAGAGACACAAUGACCUUAAAAAAUGCCCAAAGACUCAGCAUUCUCUGCCAUGAUGCACAUGAACAGAAUGAGGUUAUGUGAGUGCUGCAGUGUAAUAAAACUCUGUCCCAAUUCUUCCUACUCCUACUUGGUAGUAUAUGACAAGUAUAAAGGCAGUGGGAAAGAAAGGCCAAUGUGUCGUGCAUCUUGGAAAAAGGAUGAGUGAGUUAAAAGUUCCAUUUCACACAAGAAUAAUGUACUUUCCUCUUAAAAAUGAAUCACAAGACUUUAUAUCAACUGUUGCAGGUUUGUACCAUGUCAUGAAAAAAGCAUAUUUUUCAAACAGUUGCUGAAAUUAAAGGGGGGAAAAAAACCAAAACAACCAACAAACCCAAGCCCAAACAGAACAAUAUUUAACCAGAAACGAAAAUCUACAGAGAGGUAGAGAUAUACCAAACUAUUCAAAAUUUAAAAAAAAAAGGAUACUUUUUUUCAUUAAGAAAUCUUGCAAGAAUUAACAGUGGUAAGGUAUGAAUAGGUAAAUCAUAAAUCUGGAUUGCAGGAAAAGGAAGUUUGCACACACAGAAGUUUCCAACAGCACACAUGUGAUCAGUGCUUUUUUAACACCCCUCAUCUCUGAUGAGAAAAAGAUCACAAGGAUAUGUCAAAGACUCAUGACCUCUUACAGCGAUCAUUACGCUACUUAUAUGGAGACCUUAUUGCAACCUUUCUGUAUUAAAAUGGACUUACAAGAAAGGUGGAAGGAGGGAGAGAUUGUUACCUGUGUAUACAAGUUUUGCAAACUUGAACAGGAUGUUAUAUGUCACACUCAUAUUUAUUUCCUUUGCUGUAAACUCAUACACAUCUGUGUGAUAAUAUGCAAAAACAAUUACAGACUAUAACUGAAACAAAAGGUUUCUCCAAACCCUGUAUAUUUCCAAUACAAUUAAAAAAAACCUAAAGAAACAAAUAAAAUCCAGAAAUUAAAACAAAGCUGAGAGUGUCCAGAUUACAGAUCUGACUUUUGGUUUACCUGGGAAAAUAUUACUUACAAGCCUCUGAAAAAGCUAUAUAUGUAUGUGCCAGAUUGUUACUAUUAUUUGUGUUCUGUAAAAGGCUCCAGCGCAUCACAUGUUGUGGGGGGAAAAAAAAGAUAGAAGCGUUGCCAUCAUCACUUAAAAGACAUGUAGUUACAGCUAGGACAAGAAUGAACUGAUUAGAUGAUGAGUAUAAGUGGUGAACACAUACCUACAAAGUGACAGAUAACAAAGUGUCCUGGCCUCUAAAAUAUGGUCUUAGAAUUUCAAGAAAGAAGUUUUCAAAAGCCUGAUAUGUUUUUCUGUCACCACAAAUGAAGAGUUUUAAGGAGGUAUUGGAAGAAAACAAUGAUGUGGCUUUUUUGUCUCAGAGAGGCACCAAGAAUUUCAUGCCUGGAGGCGCAAAAGGGCUUCACUGGAGGCAAAGGAGGCUACAGCCACAGACUGACAGGAUAACAGGGUGGGUUCCAAACCGAGUAGGGGAUGUGCCAUGAAGAUCUCUGAAAGCUCCAACAUUUAGAUCUUUCAUGAGAUAAUAGAAUUGGUGAAAGAGAGAGAAAAAGGGUGAAACAGACAAGAUAAUAGGCAAGGAAAACUUGUUUACAGUGACAGCCUGAUUAGAUAUGAAUAGUCCAAUUCUGCAUUUCUUGUGGCUAUUCACUAUAUCCCAGUCUUUAAACUGGGUGCUGGAGGGACAGACUAAGAGAAAUCUGGCUUUAUGAGAGAGUACCCUUUUCAGAAGGCAGAAUCUGGAAGACUUAAGUGUCAAAAGCAACACUUCAGAAGAAAAUCCUUAAAAUACUCCAGGAUAGCACUGCUCAUGAAUUUCUACAGGAAAACCUUCACGGAAGCCUGACAAGUGUAUUAAUUGUUCUUGUUUGGUCUAAUGGAAUUGCUGCUUCUUUAAGAUUCUCCCCAUGUGGAAGGCAAGAACACUUGCCCAGGUGAUCCCACUUGAUGCCAGGUGAUCAAACUGAGCUUUGAAAUAACACCAUUCAAAUGAAGAUUAAAGGUUCUUUGAGGUAAUUUCUUGUUUAAGUUUUGUAAAGUAGGGAUUAAUGAUUAGUGAAGAGAAAUAAUGGGCAAUAAAAUGUCUUGAAGCAGCAAACCAGGACUAACACUAACAAUCUCUAUAUUGGAGACCUGUGCAAUGAAACUAGUGCGAAAAUACUUCCGGUUUAAAACUGAUAAGGAACCAAAAUAAGUGAAAACAGACCAAGAUUUUCUAUUUAUUUUAUCAUUUUUGUUCAACUGAUGAUGAAAUUAACUUGAUAAAAAAGUGCUGAGUAAUAGUUUUAAAACUAUUUUUAAAAAAUUAUGCUCUUUAAAUGACAAGCUUUUCCAGGAACAGAGAUUGUCUGGACUUUUGGUUACUAUGCCCAGAUCAUCAUUCUUCGAUCGUUCUCCCUUACCUUCAUCUCAGAGAAUUGUGGCAGUCCCUGACCCCUGCUGAUUCCUGCAGUAGGAUUUCCAAUACCAGUUUCUUGCCCCAAGGAGAGGGAUUUUGUGUCACUGCAGCUGAUUCUUUGGUCCACUUACACUGAAGCUUAUUUGCAGCUGCCCUCUGGGGGAGAAAAAACAUUAUCACUUUAACAACAGUGAAAUAAGUAAACACAGAGCCAUGGUGGGUUUAGGAACACACCACCACCUCUAUUGAGGGAAAGCUAAAAUAUCAGUGAUUUACAAAUCAGACCAAGCUCCUGGGACAAUCUAUAUCAGAAAUGGUCUCCUACCUGCUCCAAGGAAAGGGACCCAAUAUGAGUAGUCAGAGCUGUGAGAUACACAUUGUUAUUAAUAUCAGAUAGUAAGAGGGCAAAACUACAAACUGUGGCCUCCUGAUUUACACCUCCAAAAUAUUUCCUGGUGGGGAAAGCCCCUAGGCUCCUAGAUGAGAUUUUGUAGACUAAUACUGGAUUUGUCAUUUGCAGAGAAACACCCUGAAAGGCCUAGUUAUCAGGCUGUAAUUCAUUGGUUUACUCUCACUGUUUCCCUUGGCCACAUGACACUUUUCAAUAAAUUAUGAUUAAUGCUGACAGUGGUUGAAUUAAUCUAAAAAACAUCUGAAUGUGUACAGUGCUGGGUAGGUUUGAUGGUCAUGCAGAAAAUGGAGGCUCUUCUUUGUGAGAGCCUGAUCCUUCCAGUAGUUGUGUAAGACCCAAGAGAAUAAGAUGGACUAAUAUUGAUGAUAUUCUCUAUCAUGGUAAUCAAGACUUUAGAGUCAACCUUAGGGUCCUAGGAAGACCCAUAGGUGCCUUUGCACUCUCACUGCCAUGAAAAAGCUUCAAAGAGGUAUGAAUGCAAGGGGAGCAAAUUAAUUUUAGUAUUUCACUCAUAGUGGCAGUGUUUUAAGGACUUUGUUAAUCUCUACCCCAGAAUGGCAGUGAGAAUUAUGACUCAGUCUUUUUGUCAACCCACAGAAUAAAACAGUGGUACCACUGAUGUUGCUAAGAAAGAAGUUUACAGCACACACCAGCUGCCACACACUUGCUACUCUGAACCACUUCUACUACUCACAGCUGUCCCCAACAUAUCCUUAUUUUGUUGUUUUUGUUGCUUCUGUUGUCGCUUAUACUGUUCUCCACUGCUUUGCAGUCCUUUGCGCUUCUGUUGUGCCAUUUUUCUCCACUAACUUCUUUUCACACUCAGUUGCCAAGAAACUGCAUUCUUUAAAGCUGAUCCUGGUGUGUUGUCCCUCUUAUUUGCUACACAUCAAUAAUUACCAGCAGCCACCUACCUGUUCCUGCCUUGAUAAUCUGUUUUUCAGACAAACAUGAAAACCCUUUCUGCAGAGAGCGUUUGUGCUUUUUUGGAAGAGAUUUUGAUUCAGGUGACAUAGCUCUUUUGGGAGUUAGAAAGAAUCGGACUACAAUUUUCUUUCUGAUAUUUGCAUGUGGCUGCUUUGCCUAUUAGACUGAGCAGUCUGAGGAUAGACAGAUGAGGUCACAUUUGCCCCUGUUAAUACUCAUAGGUUUACUUGGGCUGUUAGAAACUGAUGCAGAAAAGACAUGGUGUGAAAAAAUUGGAAGCAAAUUUGGGCAGCAACAUGAAAGGCAGUGAGGUUGUUAACAGGAGAGGUUGAAUUCUUCUUCCAUGUAUUCAUGUCAAAUCUCUAAAUAUUAUAAGUUUGCUUAGCUGCAGAUGAAUGGAAUUUCCACAUUUGUAACUACCAUGUUCUUUUCUUUCCCUCCCUCAUCAUUUCUGCAAUUCAUUUCCCCUCUGACUCACUUUGUUAAUAGUCCUUGUUGACUGCUUUGAAUCAACAGAGGUUUUAUUAAAAGGCUUUGGUAUAAAUUUCACUGCCACACAGUGAAAAUAAGAUUAUUUUUUUAAGUGUCUUUACUAUCAUCUUUGGGACAACAUUUCAGUUUCUCUGUUUAGCCACCAUCAAACUUCAGCUUAAUGUUGUAGUGCCUAAGAGACCUGUGAUAGUGGAGAGAAAAGUGAUUCAAGUAAUUAAAAAAGGAAAAAAAUACAACAUUUCAAUAUAAAGAAGUAUAUAAAAAGAGCAUAACUAGAUCAUCUCAAUUCUUCUCUCCCUCUGUCUCCUAUUACAACACAUGUGUGCAAUUACAACAUCUGUUAUCCUGAUGGCCUGGAAUGUAUCACCAACUUCAGUCAUGGGAUUCUCUAAACUCCGUGAUGUUUAAUAAUAGAUACUCAAAGGAUGCUAUCAAAAUUGAGUGCAAAUGUAAACUCUGGUAAAAAUUGCUAAAUGAUAGGCAAGGGAAAACACACUUAAUUUGCUUUUGUUCUACUAACAGUUGGGCAGGCUACUUUGGUUUGAAAAAAAAAAAUGUCCUGAACUUUUUCACCUUCAGGAGCUUCUAAACCAGAAUUUCAAGCUAUUGCAAAUUAAAGAACUUCAGCUAAGAAGAAAAAGUAAUUUAUUCUCUUAACUCCAUCCACUCAGUUGGACCCACAAGAGUAAACAGUUUCCUCUUUUCCAUGGUAUUAAACGUAUGCAAAUUUGUUUUCCUGAGUCAGAGUCUUAAUUUAGUUUGUCAUUUGAGGCAGAAUCUGCUAAGUUAUACGUUUCAAAAUUAGCCACCAGGAGGGAUAAACAGGAUAAACAUUUUCCUUGGUGAGUUGGUACAAAUACAAAAUACUGGAAGAAAACUUUAAUAAUGCAUUUUGGGAGAGGUUGAUAAUUAGAGGCUUUAUUACUUUCCAAGAUAUUCUGUUGUAACCUUUGCAGCACUAUCCUCAUUUUAUCAGGGUGACUUCACAUGCUCCUUGAUAUUUAGCAGCUGUGCUGUAUAAAAUCUUCAAUCCUGGGUAACUGCAAAAACAUUUUUACAAAAUGUCAAAUGAGUAGGAGGGAUGGAGGGAAAAAAGGAUAUGCCUGCAUAGACAAAUUUUCAUUCUUUCAAAUAGCACAAUUAGUAAAAAUAAUUUUUGUAAAGCUUUCUGAUAACACCUUGCAUGCACAUGCACAGCUCUCAGUCUCCACACAAUAAACCUAAAAAGACAUCUGGAAAACAGAAAAAAUGAGUGAACUAUUGUUCCAGGGAUACAGUAUUUUUUUUCCUGAAUUAAGAACAUUUUCUUCAAGGAUAAGGGAAACAAAGACAAGACUGUUGAGGCAGAUGAUAGCUGAGCUCAAUACACUUACUUAAUCCUUCUUGUCUCCCAUGUUUUGGCAGGGAAAUUGAGAACAAGGAAAGAUUAAGUGCUUUGUUUCAGAUAAAUUAGGAUGCCUGGGAUGGAGAGUCAAAUGUGUCUCCAUGUUCAAGUGGUAUAUGAAUGCAGCUCAGCUUAGCAGGUUGUCUUUUGUAAAUUUCACAGGGACAACAUUUCUGAAUUGCUUUUUAAUAUUUCAUUUUUUCCUUUUGGUCUGCCCUGCACACUUACUGAGUAGGUUUAUGUCUGCCAGCUCCCAUGAAGAGGCAUGGUUUCAUUAUGAGUGAAAGAUUCGCUAAAUCUGUGGCACUGGCAGGCAAGCGCAUAAAUGCCAAGGGCACCACUACAUUAAGCCUUGAGGAAGAACCCUUAUGUCCUUAAGGAACUCCAGGACAAAGAGCACACAAGGUUCCCAUCCUUCCAUACACUGGUAUACAUUUUAUGUGAGAAAUCUAUAUCUUAACACAUGAUAGUAUGUGUACUGCAUGAUCUUGAAAUGCAUAUUUUUAUAUUACUGUACAUGUCUCUUUUCACAGUUAAACUGAAGAAAACUUGUCCAUCAUGUGCAGGCUUUAAAUCUUCAUUGCGUUUCCUCUAUGACACAAUUACAGUGUGACUUUUUUCUUUGUGGAGAAGGUGGAGAACAGUGGAAGCAGAAACAAAGGAUGGAAAGUGGGAAGAAAGAUGUGGGGUGAAGUCACAGCCCCACAACUGAAGUCUGAGGGGUUUGGAAUGUUACAAAGUGUUGGGCCGUUUUCCAUGGGAGCAGUGGAGCUAAUUAGAUAGCUCCCAUGGACACAGCCUUGAGCUGUGUGGCUGAAGUGCAGGUGCGGCAUUCCUCGGUGUUUUUCUGGGAAUAUGUUUGCGUUGUGUGUGUGGGAAAGUAGAAAUGGGAGAACUGAAUAAAAAGCUGCCUGCUGCACUGAGCAGGCAGACAUCUCUUUGUCUCACCAUC